rnacentral:rRNA from 1 species
GAGCAUGACCCGUCUCACUGGGACUGAGACACUGCCCAGACACCUACGGGUGGCUGCAGUCGAGAAUCUUCGGCAAUGGGCGAAAGCCUGACCGAGCGAUGCCGCGUGUGGGAUGAAGGCCCUCGGGUUGUAAACCACUGUCGUAGGGGAGGAAGGUUCCGUGAAGAGCGGAAUUUGACCUAUCCUAGGAGGAAGUACGGGCUAAGUUCGUGCCAGCAGCCGCGGUAACACGAACCGUACGAACGUUAUUCGGAAUUACUGGGCUUAAAGGGUUUGUAGGCGGCCUUGUAAGUCAGGUGUGAAAGCCCUCGGCUCAACCGAGGAACAGCGCUUGAUACUGCAAGGCUUGAGGGAGACAGGGGUAAGCGGAACUGAUGGUGGAGCGGUGAAAUGCGUUGAUAUCAUCAGGAACACCGGUGGCGAAAGCGGCUUACUGGGUCUCUUCUGACGCUGAGGAACGAAAGCUAGGGUAGCGAACGGGAUUAGAUACCCCGGUAGUCCUAGCUGUAAACGAUGAGCACUUAUCUGGGGAUCCUCCCAUAGGUUCCCGGAUGUAGCGAAAGUGUUAAGUGCUCCGCCUGGGGAGUAUGGUCGCAAGGCU